GACUGGAGGUCCCACCCCCAGGCCCAUGGUCCCCACAAGCACGACCUGCAGUCCCCAUCUCACCCUGAGAGGCGGUGGACAGGGGUGAGGACAGGAGCAGGACUUAGUGCAGGGUCAUGUGGGGUCAGGCCCCAGAAUAGAGGACGCCCUCCAGGGCAGAGGAUCCCCAGUGCUGCCUUAGGGAGACACGAGGACCAAUUCACAGGCCUGAUUUGGAAGAGCGGCACUUUUGCAAGUCUAAAGCUUGAUGAAUUCGUGCAUGGGGCAAUGGAUUUGAGGUUAAUGUCCGGAGAAAUCACGACCGAUCCAACACAGAGCUAGGAUGUGACCUGCGCAUUCCCGACCGUGAUGGUUAAUCUUAUGUGUCAACUUGGCUGGGCCGUGGUGCCCAGACAGUCGGCCAAACGCUAUUCGGGAUGUGUCUUCGGAUGGGAUUGAUGUUUAGAUCAGUGGACUCUGAAUAAAACAGCACGCUGCCCACAUUGUGGGUGGGCCUCAUCCAAUCAGUUGAAGGCCUGCGGAGCAUAAAAGACCGACUUCCCCAAGCGAGAGGAAAUUCCGCCAGCGGACAGCCUUUGGGCUACAACUGCGACUCUCAGCCGAGUCUCCGGGGCUGGCCUCCCCGCUCGGAUUUGGGCUCACCGAGCCUCCGCGGUUCGUUAACAUAAGUACCAUUCUCUGUCUUCACAUCCUGCUGGUGCUGUUGCUCUGGAGAACACUGCCCCACACACUAACCGAUGGUUGCGGGGACGCCACCCACAGACACCUCUGGCCCCCCUGAGCCUCUUCAGCACGAUGGCUCCUAGGACAGCGGAAGCCAGAGCUCAACUAAGCAGUGCUGGGAAAGAUGCCUCCCCCUCGGGAAGACUGUAGCCCUUCACCUCAGCAGGUGCUCAUGCGUGCGGAACCCACGGGCCUCCUGGGAGACACAGGCCCCGGGGCUGCGGGGGGUCAGAGGCUCGUGAACAGCAGGUCGCCCACGCCAAAGGCGGGCAGUCUCAACAUCAAAGACACGGCAGGGGUGCGGGAGAGGGCAGGCUGCCCGCGCUGGUAGGAGGGGGCGGUUCUCUGCUCCGUGCGAUGGCUUCCGGUUCUAGAAACUCAAGAAGGCGCAGACCUGGAAAACCCUGCACCCUUAAAACCUUUGUAAAAAUGAUUGUGGGGUACGGUGAGCAAAAUCCUUUUAAAUCCUUCGCUGAGCUUAUAGAAGCUCACGGUCACGGUGGAGCAACAAAGGGGGGCUGGGGGUGAGCGACCGCGCCGUCCCGGGCCACCCGCGCCCCGGCAAAGGCCCCCCAAGAUGUUGCUUCUCGUUUCUGGCGAACCGAAUGGAAAUGAAACCACAGAAAGGUGGACAAAUCAUGCAGGAGACCUCACCUGGUUUUCACAAGCCCCUGUGUACCCAGCCCUCAGAUCGAGAACAGUCCGGCACCCCAGGAGACACUGCCCUCACCCCAGCUGACCGUCCCCUGACUCCCUCAGGUGAAUGAGUCCCCCCUGUUGCUGGAGCCCAUGCAAAUGCAAACACACACUGCUGUCUCCUGAUGCAGGUGCCCCGGGGGCUCCCCCUGCACGGCCGCAGGUGGCCACUGCUCUGGCCGAGGGCACUCCCCUGUGGGGGCACCAGCACCCGCAUGCCGAGACUUUGGAGGGAGGGCAGGAGACAGACGCGGGGCAGCAUGGCAGGCGGUGGGGGCUGAGGGCUCUGCCUGCAGGGGACACUCCUGAGGCCCCAACCCUGGGCCCCGGGGGCAGGGUGGGCUAGGAGACUGCGUGGCAUCCGAAGGAGAGGGCAGGAGACCCCCCUGCUCGGAGUCUGAGGUCCGGAGAAGUGACAUCUUCAGCUCCCGAAGGCGGGGUCCUAGGGGCAGGAGGGCGCCCCCACCUCUCAGCCACACCCACUCAAAAGGCAGCCCCCCAAACAGGCGACUGGGGCAGGAGGAGGGAGGUGAGCAGGACACCCCGUGUUCGCGGCUGUGCCAUGUGGGAACCCAGUGGAGCUGUGGCGGGAAGGACAGCACACGUCUUGGUUCAAAUACCACAGACCCCCGGUUGGCAUCGGCGUUUACUAGAUUUCACUGAAUAAAUGCUUCUUUUUUAAAAAAAA